GCCGAUGUAGCUCAGUUGGCAGAGCAACGCUUUCGUAAAGCGUAGGUCACCAGUUCGAUUCUGGUCAUCGGCUCCA
rnacentral:tRNA from 3 species